rnacentral:rRNA from 1 species
GAUGAACGCUGGCGGCGUGCCUAAUACAUGCAAGUCGAGCGAACAGACGAGGAGCUUGCUCCUCUGACGUUAGCGGCGGACGGGUGAGUAACACGUGGAUAACCUACCUAUAAGACUGGGAUAACUUCGGGAAACCGGAGCUAAUACCGGAUAAUAUAUUGAACCGCAUGGUUCAAUAGUGAAAGACGGUUUUGCUGUCACUUAUAGAUGGAUCCGCGCCGCAUUAGCUAGUUGGUAAGGUAACGGCUUACCAAGGCAACGAUGCGUAGCCGACCUGAGAGGGUGGUCGGCCAACAUGGAAAUGAGAAACGGUCCAGACUCCUAAGGGAGGCAGGAGGAGGGAAUCCUCCGGAAUGGGCGAAAGCCUGGCGGGGCAACGCCGCGGGAAUGAUGGAGGUCUUCGGGUCCGAAAACUCUUUUAUUAGGGAAGAACAAAUGGGUAAGUAACUAGGCACGUCUUGACGGUACCUAAACAGAAAACCACGGCUAACCUCCUG